rnacentral:tRNA from 1 species
AAAUAAGAAAUAAAUUUUUAUAUUUAGUUUCGACCUAAAAUUUGGCUUAAGCCCUUAUUUA